UACGUAGGGCGCAAGCGUUAUCCGGAAUUAUUGGGCGUAAAGAGCUCGUAGGCGGUUUGUCGCGUCUGCCGUGAAAGUCCGGGGCUCAACUCCGGAUCUGCGGUGGGUACGGGCAGACUAGAGUGAUGUAGGGGAGACUGGAAUUCCUGGUGUAGCGGUGAAAUGCGCCGAUAUCAGGAGGAACACCGAUGGCGAAGGCAGGUCUCUGGGCAUUAACUGACGCUGAGGAGCGAAAGCAUGGGGAGCGAACAGG
rnacentral:rRNA from 1 species